rnacentral:rRNA from 1 species
CAGUCGCCGCGGUAAUACGAGGGGGGCAAGCGUUGUUCGGAAUUAUUGGGCGUAAAGGGUGCGUAGGCGGUUUGACAAGUCAUCUGUGAAAUCUAUGGGCUCAACCCAUAGUCUGCAGGCGAAACUGUCGGGCUUGAGUAUUGGAGAGGUGAGUGGAAUUUCCGGUGUAGCGGUGAAAUGCGUAGAUAUCGGAAGGAACACCUGUGGCGAAAGCGGCUCACUGGACAAUAACUGACGCUGAGGCACGAAAGCUAGGGGAGCAAACAGGAUUAGAUACUCGUGUAGUCCCUGUCUCUUAUAC